rfam:Halomonas subglaciescola strain ACAM 12 genome assembly, chromosome: I
GGUGGUAGGGCCCACCGAAGUCGGCUGUCGGAAGCAGGCUUCAAACCAGCCCAAGCUGCAUGCAUUAAGAGUGUUUGUGGUGAGCGUUGGGUUAAAAGGCUGCACAGUUGAUGCAGUCAGGU